rnacentral:rRNA from 1 species
AUACGGAGGGUGCAAGCGUUGUUCGGAAUUACUGGGCGUAAAGCGCGCGUAGGCGGUCUGUUAUGUCAGAUGUGAAAGUCCUCGGCUCAACCGGGGAAGUGCAUUUGAAACUGGCAGACUUGAGUACUGGAGGGGGUGGUGGAAUUCCCGGUGUAGAGGUGAAAUUCGUAGAUAUCGGGAGGAAUACCGGUGGCGAAGGCGACCACCUGGCCAGAUACUGACGCUGAGGUGCGAAAGCGUGGGGAGCAAGCAGGAUUAGAAACCCCAGUAGUCC